CCGGCGCACGGGUGAGUAACACGUAUCCAACCUGCCGUCUACUCUUGGCCAGCCUUCUGAAAGGAAGAUUAAUCCAGGAUGACAUCAUGGGUUCACAUGUCCGCAUGAUUAAAGGUAUUUUCCGGUAGACGAUGGGGAUGCGUUCCAUUAGAUAGUAGGCGGGGUAACGGCCCACCUAGUCAACGAUGGAUAGGGGUUCUGAGAGGAAGGUCCCCCACAUUGGAACUGAGACACGGUCCAA
rnacentral:rRNA from 1 species